AGAGUGAACGCUGGCGGCGUGCUUAACACAUGCAAGUCGAACGAGAACGGAUUUAAGCUUGCUUAAAUUGUCAGCUAAGUGGCGCACGGGUGAGUAAUAUAUAGUUAACCUGCCCUAGAGAGGGGGAUAACGUUUGGAAACGAACGCUAAUACCCUAUAUGCCUUUAAUACAUAAGUAUGCAAGGGAAAUAUUUAUAGCUCUAGGAUGGGACUGUACGGUAUCAGUUAGUUGGUGAGGUAAUGGCUCACCAAGACAAUGACACCUAACUGGUUUGAGAGGAUGAUCAGUCACACUGGAACUGAGACACGGUCCAGACUCCUACGGGAGGCAGCAGUGGGGAAUAUUGCACAAUGGACGAAAGUCUGAUGCAGCAACGCCGCGUGGAGGAUGACACAUUUCGGUGCGUAAACUCCUUUUAUAUAGGAAGAUAAUGACGGUACUAUAUGAAUAAGCACCGGCUAACUCCGUGCCAGCAGCCGCGGUAAUACGGAGGGUGCAAGCGUUACUCGGAAUCACUGGGCGUAAAGAGCGUGUAGGCGGGUUAAUAAGUUGGAAGUGAAAUCCUAUGGCUCAACCAUAGAACUGCUUUCAAAACUGUUAACCUAGAGUAUGGGAGAGGUAGAUGGAAUUUCUGGUGUAGGGGUAAAAUCCGUAGAGAUCAGAAGGAAUACCGAUUGCGAAGGCGAUCUACUGGAACAUAACUGACGCUGAGACGCGAAAGCGUGGGGAGCAAACAGGAUUAGAUACCCUGGUAGUCCACGCCCUAAACGAUGCACACUAGUUGUUGCUAUGCUAGACAUAGCAGUAAUGCAGUUAACACAUUAAGUGUGCCGCCUGGGGAGUACGGUCGCAAGAUUA
rnacentral:rRNA from 1 species